GCUUCAAUAACUCAGUUGGUUAGAGUGCCAGUCUCAUACUUAGUUAUGAUCUUCAGACUCGAAGAGUGAUCUGGAAGCCGCAAGUUCGAGUCUUGCUUGGAGCA